GCUGACGAGUGGCGAACGGGUGAGUAAUAUAUCGGAACGUACCAUUCAGUGGGGGAUAACGUAGCGAAAGUUACGCUAAUACCGCAUAUUCUGUGAGCAGGAAAGCAGGGGAUCGCAAGACCUUGCGCUGAUUGAGCGGCCGAUAUCAGAUUAGCUUGUUGGUGAGGUAAAAGCUCACCAAGGCGACGAUCUGUAGCGGGUCUGAGAGGAUGAUCCGCCACACUGGAACUGAGACACGGUCCAGACUCCUACGGGAGGCAGCAGUGGGGAAUUUUGGACAAUGGGGGCGACCCUGAUCCAGCCAUGCCGCGUGAGUGAAGAAGGCCUUCGGGUUGUAAAGCUCUUUCAGCCGGGAAGAAAACGCAUGGGUUAAUACCCUGUGUGGAUGACGGUACCGGAAUAAGAAGCACCGGCUAACUACGUGCCAGCAGCCGCGGUAAUACGUAGGGUGCGAGCGAUAAUCGGAAUUACUGGGCGUAAAGCGUGCGCAGGCGGUUUUGUAAGACAGGCGUGAAAUCCCCGGGCUUAACCUGGGAACUGCGUUUGUGACUGCAAGGCUAGAGUACGGCAGAGGGGGGUGGAAUUCCACGUGUAGCAGUGAAAUGCGUAGAGAUGUGGAGGAACACCAAUGGCGAAGGCAGCCCCCUGGGUCGAUACUGACGCUCAUGCACGAAAGCGUGGGUAGCAAACAGGAUUAGAUACCCUGGUAGUCCACGCCCUAAACGAUGUCAACUAGGUGUUGGGAGGGUAAAACCUUUUAGUACCGGAGCUAACGCGUGAAGUUGACCGCCUGGGGAGUACGGCCGCAAGGUUAAAACUCAAAGGAAUUGACGGGGACCCGCACAAGCGGUGGAUGAUGUGGAUUAAUUCGAUGCAACGCGAAAAACCUUACCUACCCUUGACAUGCCAAGAACUUUCCAGAGAUGGAUUGGUGCCCGAAAGGGAACUUGGACACAGGUGCUGCAUGGCUGUCGUCAGCUCGUGUCGUGAGAUGUUGGGUUAAGUCCCGCAACGAGCGCAGCCCUUGUCGUUAAUUGCCAUCAUUUAGUUGGGCACUUUAGCGAGACUGCCGGUGACAAACCGGAGGAAGGUGGGGAUGACGUCAAGUCCUCAUGGCCCUUAUGGGUAGGGCUUCACACGUCAUACAAUGUCGGUACAAAGGGUCGCCAAGCCGCGAGGUGGAGCCAAUCCCAGAAAGCCGAUCGUAGUCCGGAUCGCAGUCUGCAACUCGACUGCGUGAAGUCGGAAUCGCUAGUAAUCGUGGAUCAGAAUGUCACGGUGAAUACGUUCCCGGGUCUUGUACACACCGCCCGUCACACCAUGGGAGCGGGUUCCGCCAGAAGUAGGUAGCCUAACCGCAAGGAGGGCGCUUACCACGGCGGGGUUCGUGACUGGGGUGAAGUCGAAACAAGGUA
rnacentral:rRNA from 1 species